rnacentral:rRNA from 1 species
GUGGGGAAUAUUGGACAAUGGGCGAAAGCCUGAUCCAGCCAUGCCGCGUGUGUGAAGAAGGUCUUCGGAUUGUAAAGCACUUUAAGUUGGGAGGAAGGGUAGUAACCUAAUACGUUGCUACUUUGACGUUACCGACAGAAUAAGCACCGGCUAACUUCGUGCCAGCAGCCGCGGUAAUACGAAGGGUGCAAGCGUUAAUCGGAAUUACUGGGCGUAAAGCGCGCGUAGGUGGUUCAGUAAGUUGGAAGUGAAAUCCCCGGGCUCAACCUGGGAACUGCUUUAAGAACUGCUGAGCUAGAGUACGGUAGAGGGUGGUGGAAUUUCCUGUGUAGCGGUGAAAUGCGUAGAUAUAGGAAGGAACACCAGUGGCGAAGGCGACCACCUGGACUGAUACUGACACUGAGGUGCGAAAGCGUGGGGAGCAAACAGGAUUAGAAACCCCUGUAGUCC